UGAAACAGUGUCUGGUCCACACACGAUUUUGGAAAGGGCAGCCAGGAUCAGGGGAGAAGGGUUCCAGGUAACCAGGCAUACGGCAAAGCAUGAACAGAGGGCCCUAUGCUCCCACCCGCCAUGAAGUGCAGAGUGGAGCAGAGAUGAAUAGAUGAGGCAACAAAGCUGCCAGGAGUGGGAAGAGUGGUGGUGGCUCUGCCUUCCUAGAAGCCUGCAGUGGCCCCUUCCAGGGUACUGUGUGUGUUCAGUACUGAUGGGGUAUGUCUACACUGCAGUGUAUAUCUUUAACGGAAGAAUCUACUGACUCCAGAGGGAAAGACCAUACAUGGUGAUGGACAGCUUGAGUUUAUACUUAGAGCGUCACUCACUGUGACUCUUGCAGUCAAGGCUAACACCAAUAUGAUAAGUAUCUGCAACCCUUUCAUUACAAGGAUAUAAUUCUGAAGCAUCUUUUAACUGGAAUUGUAGUAUCACAUCCGACUCACUAUCUAAAAUCCAUCAAAGUCUGGUUUUGAAACCUGGACCUUCAGCACUGAUCACUACUACUAGAGCUAAGAGACUAACAAUGGAGGGCAGCAAGAGGAACCUGCCUUUAGAAGAGGAUGAGUGGGACAAUGAAACAGUGGGUCAAUAUGGAGGAGUGUACUACUCCUUUAAGGAACAGACUGGAACCUGCAACCAGAACAGCUUGGCUGUGAUCAAAGACGUCUCCUGCCCAGCCCUGGGCUAUUAAGCAGGAAGAGGAAGCUAAGCGAGAGAGAGAGAGAGUGUGUUAACAGCUAUAUUGGUUGCUGUGGUCUGUUUUUUUUUUUUUUUUUUUCUUCUUCUUCUUCUUCUUCUUCUUCAGACUUUAGGGAACUAGCCUGCCAAGCUUGGAGGGUUUGUUUGCUGACUCUAAGUUUAGGAGCUCUGAAGUGGGGGCCCUGAGGUAAGGGUCUAAAGAACCUUGUUAAGGCUGCUCUGCCCCUGAGAUGUUCUUAAAGGGGAUACAUUUGUUUUGGUUUCCCCUUGUUUGGAUCCUUUAUAAUUAUAUAUUCCUCAAUAGCUGCAUUUUUACAGACCUCCUAACCAAGGACAUAGAUUUGGUAGAUUAAAAACAGCAUGGCUGAGAGCUGGCUCUGCCACUAUAGAGAUUUGGGUUCCAGUUGCUGCUUGUGUGACUGUUUAGUAAUGCCUUUCUGAAUAAUGAGUGCUAUGAAAAGUAUAGCACUCAUUAACAGUAGUGAGACUUAUACUCAUGACCUUCUGGUUCCCAAUCCAGUGUACGUUUCCCUUGGCUAAAGCAACAGCAGUCUGAUGAUCAGUUUUGUCUGUAAAACUUUUGGCACCUGAGAGACUAACAAAUUUAUUUAAGCAUAAGCUUUUGUGGGCUACAGCCCACUUCAUCAGAUGCAUAGAAUGGAACAUAUAGUAAGAAGAUAUGUAUGCAUACAGAGAACAUGAAAAGGUGGAAGGUGCCAUACCAACUAAAGAGGUUAAUUAAUUAAGAUGCGCUAUUAGCAGCAUGAGGGGGGAAAAAAAACUUUUGUCUCUAUAAUCAAGAUGGCCCAUUUCAGACAGUUGACAAGAAGGUGUGAGGAUACUUAACACGGGGAAAUAGAUUCAAUUUGUGUAUUGACCCAGUCUCUAUUCAAGCCCAAGUUAAUGGUAUCUAGAUUGCAAAUUCUAGUUCAGUAGUUUCUGUUUGGAGUCUGUUCUUGAAGCUUUUCUGAGGCAAAAUUGCCACCUUUAAUUCUGUUACUGAGUGACCAGAGAGUUUGAUGUGUUCUCCUACUGCUUUUUGAAUGUUAUGAUUCCUGAUGUCAGAUUUGUGUCCAUUUAUUCUUUUGCGUGGAGACUGUCCAGUUUGGCCAAUGUACAUGGCAGAGGGGCAUUGCUGGCAUUUCUCUGUGUUGCAAUCUAAAACUCGGGUUUGUGUGGCAUGCUGAAGUGAAAUGCUAUGGGGCAUGCUAAGUGGUGAUAGAAUAUUCAAGGAUUUUAGUGGUCAGCUUCUAGCAAGUUCUAUGCAGCAAAACAUGGUGAGGUGGCAAUUUUUGACAUCUUAUAAUUUGUCUAAAUAUCAACAGAUUUUUUUUUUCAUAGGGAAAGUAAAAGUGACCUCCCUGACCCCAGGAUUAUCCUGCUGCCAAACUUCAAGUUCAUGCAAACCAUGGAGGUGCUGAAAAUCUUAGGAAACCUAAAUAUAGGGAUGGCUACUAAUUGCCCUUUGAAGCUUUUAUUUUUGAUAGAACUGGGGUGUGGAGCGGGGAAGUGAUUUAGAAUAGAACAAACUAAACAAACCAAAUCUUUGAGAUAAAACAGUACAGAUUUAGGGCCUGAGCCUGCAAACGCUUUAUGGAUUAAAUUGCAGAAUUAUAGGUAAGGAGCAACAUCUGUAGCUCACAAGUCAUAAGAUCUGACCCUGCAUUUGGGGGUGGAAAGAGGGAUUAACCUGUCAAGUCCUAAUAAUAGUUAUAGAAGUUUUUAGAAAAAUACCAUAAUAUAAUAGCUUCCACAGUAGGCAGUUUCCAACCAGGAAAGAAGAAAUGUUUCUUGUCCUAAAGAGCACACAGUCUCUAAGGCACCUGAGGGGAACAUAAAGGUAAAUAGAAUUGAUUCACCCAACUUCUUGUAAAAUUCAAAAGGUCUAGAGCUGCUACCUUCCGUCUUAUCCAGCUUCUGGUUACCUUUGUGAUUUAUAAAGCCAGUUUUAUACAUGGGUAAAGUCCUGCUUUUUGCUGUGUUAGGGCUCUAUCUUGCUCCCAAUGGAGUCAGUGGCAAAACUUCCAUUACCUUCAAUGGUGUAGGAUCAAGCCUUUAUUGUGCAAGAGGCAGGGGAGGGAAGGAGGGAAUAAUCAUACAAACAGGUAGAAUCUCUCCUCUGUGCAUAAGAGUAUACUGGGAGGAAUGGCCUACCAUGAUGUUAGUCACAGCUUUGCCCCUGCCAAAUUACUGGGAAAGGUGCACACACACCAAGUUGGGUUUUAAGGUAUUGUUUAUUAGGUGGCCAUCUUGGUCUGGGAUAAGAACAAGGUGAUUUCCAUGUUGUGACAGGUUCUUGUUCCCCUACGCUAAGCAAAAGGCGGGAAAGUAGAAAGAGCGGGAAUCUGUUGUUGGUAAGCAACCAGUUCCUAUAAAGGCAGAUGAGGGGACGGGCCAGGGGCUCUUGAGUCUUUGGGGGCUCAGGUGUCCAACGCGCGCUCUCUGUAGUGUGGUACCCCCUUUCACACUGGUUACUGGCCUGUAGUAGCCACUCACUAAACAGAACUGUAGUUUUGGGGUUUGCUUUUCUUUUGGGAAGCAGACCUGCAUGCGUGGAUUCGGUCCAAUUAGUUAGUUCAGACUUACAACCAUAGAAGAUGCAGCGAGGGAUGGGGGGGGGGGGGUGCCCUGAGAUAGGAUUACAUACCUGUCUUCUACACCUGUGAUCCACUGUUGAUGUCCUUCGCUGAUCCAGAUUCUGCAGCCUCUCCAUCAGCAUCACCUGUAGAAGGACACCUUUGCCUUAUUGAGUGUUUGUGCAUGUGUGUGUUUCUAUUCCAAAUCUCCAGAGUCUUAAUUCAUCCUCCCUCCCCUUCCUUUGCUCUCCUUUAGUAAAUAAAGUGUUGUUGUGAGUUUACA